UACGUAGGUGGCGAGCGUUGUCCGGAUUUACUGGGCGUAAGGAGCGCGCAGGCGGUCGUAUGAGUCGCGUGUGAAAGCCCCCGGCUCAACUGGGGAGGGUCACGCGAUACUGUUCGACUCGAAGGCAGGAGAGGGAAGUGGAAUUCCCGGUGUAGUGGUGAAAUGCGUAGAUAUCGGGAGGAACACCAGUGGCGAAGGCGACUUCCUGGCCUGUUCUUGACGCUGAGGCGCGAAAGCUAGGGUAGCAAACGGG
rnacentral:rRNA from 1 species